AAAGAAACAUCAGUUACCCAGAAGCUAAACAGAUAGCUUCUGUUUCGAAUGAUCUUCUUGUUUCAAACAGACCAUCGUACGCCAGCAAGGUUGUCCGCUCAUUCAGUCACGAGAGUACACAAACUCGCAUUACCUGGUCGAUAGAUGCUGAGACAUUUAAAAUGCUGCCUGUUGAAACCUAACCUAACGAUUACACGAAAAACCUAAAUCUUCUAAAACCAGUACUCAGUCAACUCAAUCUUCCUUACAAAGCUCAAUGUCAUCACCUUAAAAAAAAUGAAAAAAAGAAAUCAAAUAAAAAAGAUACAAGUAAAUCAGAAAGUUGGGCCGGUGAAUCUGUCUGGGAUCUUCCCAGUGACAUAGAUGAUUCUUCCAUCUCCAAUAGUGAAAAUUUAUCUUCUACAUCCGGUAUA
rnacentral:lncRNA from 1 species